UUCCGGUUGAUCCUGCCGGACCUGACUGCUAUCGGAUUGAUACUAAGCCAUGCGAGUCUUUGCAGUAAUGCAAGGCAUACGGCUCAGUAACACGUAGUCAACUUACCCUAUGGACGAGGAUAAUCUCGGGAAACUGAGCAUAAUACUCGAUAGAUCAUAAUGCCUGGAAUGGUUUAUGGUUGAAAUGAUUCGUCGCCAUAGGAUGGGACUGCGGCCUAUCAGCUUGUUGGUGAGGUAAUGGCCCACCAAGGCGAUUACAGGUACGGGCUCUGAGAGGAGAAGCCCGGAGAUGGGUACUGAGACAAGGACCCAGGCCCUAUGGGGCGCAGCAGGCGAGAAAACUUUGCAAUGUGCGAAAGCACGACAAGGUUAAUCCGAGUGAUUUCUGCUAAAGAAAUCUUUUGCAAGUCAUAAAACCACUAGUGAAUAAGGGGUGGGCAAGUUCUGGUGUCAGCCGCCGCGGUAAAACCAGCACCUCAAGUGGUCAGGAGGAUUAUUGGGCCUAAAGCAUCCGUAGCCGGCUCUGUAAGUUUUCGGUUAAAUCCAUGUGCUCAACAUAUGGGCUGCCGAAAAUACUGCAUAGCUAGGGAGUGGGAGAGGUAGACGGUACUCGGUAGGAAGGGGUAAAAUCCUUUGAUCUAUCGAUGACCACCUGUGGCGAAGGCGGUCUACCAGAACACGUUCGACGGUGAGGGAUGAAAGCUGGGGGAGCAAACCGGAUUAGAUACCCGGGUAGUCCCAGCUGUAAACGAUGCAGACUCGAUGAUGCAUUGGCAUAUAGCCAGUGCAGUGUCGCAGGGAAGCCGUUAAGUCUGCCGCCUGGGAAGUACGUACGCAAGUAUGAAACUUAAAGGAAUUGGCGGGGGAGCACCACAAGGGGUGAAGCCUGCGGUUCAAUUGGAUUCAACGCCGGG
rnacentral:rRNA from 1 species